AUAUUUUCUUCUCUUCCAUUAAUAUCAUAGAUGUUGUAAAUCCAAGCAGAAUUCCUCCUGAUUUAGUGUCCCACGUUGCCUUCAGUGUGUUGUGAGCAGAGAAAACAUUUCCAUAGAGAGGAGGCUUUGCAUGAUCAGCUGAUCCUCCAGUGAGCUGAGAAGGUUUAUAGUCCUGUGAGUUCAACACUGCAGGACUCAGAUCUGUCAGUCAACACAGCAGAAAGCACAACCACCAUGACUCUCAUCACCAUCCUCAUCUGGACGCUGGCCUGCUGCUGUUUUACAGGAUGCAGCGGUCAGGUGACUGUGACUCAGCCUCCAGUAGUGACAUUUACUCCAGGAUCCACUGUCAAGCUCACCUGUCAAACCAGCCGGGCUGUUUACAGUUCCAGCUGGGGUCAGAGAAUGGCCUGGUAUCAGCAGAAAUCUGGACAGCCUCCAAAGCUCCUGAUAUAUUUUCGUGAGCACGCUUCAUUCAGGAACACCAGCUCGGUUUAGUGGCAGUGGAAGCAGCUCUGACUUCACUUUGACCAUCAGUGGAGUUCAGACUGAAGACGCAGCAGAUUAUUACUGUCAGAGUCUACACUCUAUAAACAGUGCUUGGGUGUUCACACAGUGAUUUUUGGUCGUACAAAAACCUCCCUCAGUCAGACUGCAGAGACUCUGAGCUGUUACAGCAGGAACCGACUGCAGCUGCUGAAGAGGAAGAGACUCUGACACAGACCACUGAACACAGAGCUGACUGUAACCUCAGCAAGCACACACUACAUACUCACAC